rnacentral:rRNA from 1 species
UACAGAGGUCUCAAGCGUUGUUCGGAUUCAUUGGGCGUAAAGGGUGCGUAGGCGGCGCGGUAAGUCGGGGUGUGAAAUCUUGGAGCUUAACUCCGAAACUGCAUUCGAUACUGCCGUGCUUGAGGACUGGAGAGGAGACUGGAAUUUACGGUGUAGCGGUGAAAUGCGUAGAUAUCGUAAGGAAGACCAGUGGCGAAGGCGGGUCUCUGGACAGUUCCUGACGCUGAAGCACG